GAUUAAAUGGCUGAAAAUUAGGCGAUAGACUGUAAAUUUAUUUAUAAGAAUGUUUCUUUUUAAUCA
rnacentral:tRNA from 1 species